GCCUGGCGCAGUGGUGCGUGCCUGUAGUCCCAGCUACUCGGGAGGCUGAGGCUGGAGGAUUACUUGAGUCCAGGAGUUCUAGGCUGUAGUGUGCUAUGCCAAUCAGGUGUCUGAACUAAGUUUAGCAUCAAUAUGGUGACCUCCAGGGAGUGGGGGACCACCAGGUUGCCUAAGGAGGGCUAAACUGGCCCAGGUCAGAAAUGGAGCUGGUCAAAACUCCCGUGCUGAUCAGUAGUGGGAUUGCGCCUGUGAAUAGCCACUGCACUCCAGCCUGGGCAACAUAGCGAGACCACGUCUCU
rnacentral:SRP_RNA from 1 species